UCAGGAUGAACGCUAGCGGCAGGCUUAACACAUGCAAGUCGAGGGGCAGCGGAUGAGCAAUACAUUGCCGGCGACCGGCGGAUGGGUGCGUAACGCGUAUGCAACCUACCUAUACAGGGGAAUAACCUUUCGAAAGGGAGACUAACACCCCAUAGUAUUGAUUUAAGGCAUCUUAGAUUAAUUAAAUAUUUAUAGGUAUAAGAUGGGCAUGCGUAUGAUUAGCUAGUUGGUAAGGUAACGGCUUACCAAGGCGACGAUCAUUAGGGGUUCUGAGAGGAAGGUCCCCCACACUGGUACUGAGACACGGACCAGACUCCUACGGGAGGCAGCAGUGAGGAAUAUUGGUCAAUGGGCGCAAGCCUGAACCAGCCAUGCCGCGUGCAGGAAAGACGGCCUUAUGGGUUGUAAACUGCUUUUACAUAAGACUAACCGUAUAUUUGCGAAUAUACCUGAAUGUAUUAUGAGAAUAAGGAUCGGCUAACUCCGUGCCAGCCGCUGC
rnacentral:rRNA from 1 species